GGUGAGAAUCCAAGGCCAAUCCAUCCAGUAGUAACGGCCUCCACAGCAAACGAGAUGCUCUCUUCAGCUUGGUCCACAGUCCAGUAGAGUUUAAUCUUCUGUGAUGGAUCUAAUGCAACGAAAUGGUUGUACUCAGAAGAAAGAUCUGCAAGGCACUGGCCGAUAAGACCGAAAACCAAGGCUGAGUAAAGCAACGACAUCUUCAUCCGUUAGUGAUCUUGUAGGUGAAGUGCAACUGAGAUAGUGUCCAACCAGAACACAGCAAACAAUGGUUUGAACUACAGUGAAAGAACGCCAGCUCCAAGAGCCCAGAUAGUCCAGAUACUGAUCAAUGAGAGAUGAAUGAUGCUGACUCUCAAAGCCGUCGACGAACUGUUUACAUCACAAGUCGAAGGUGGCGGUUGAUAUGGCUUGUUGAACGUAACCUUAUUCCCAAGGUUCUUUGGGUCAAUUACUUCCUGGAAGGGAAAUAAGAUAUCCAAAUUAGGUCGAAAACAACGGCAAGUCGCGAUAAAACUCGAAUAAAAUGCAAAA